UACGUAGGCAGCGAGCGUUGUUCGGAGUUACUGGGCGUAAAGGGUGUGUAGGCGGUUGUUUAAGUUUGGUGUGAAAUCUCCCGGCUCAACUGGGAGGGUGCGACGAAUACUGAAUGACUAGAGUGCGGGAGAGGAAAGUGGAAUUCCUGGUGUAGCGGUGAAAUGCGUAGAUAUCAGGAGGAACACCGGUGGUGUAGACGGCUUUCUGGACCGUAACUGACGCUGAGACACGAAAGCGUGGGUAGCAAACAGG
rnacentral:rRNA from 1 species